AACGAACGCUGGCGGCAGGCCUAACACAUGCAAGUCGAGCGCCCUUUCGGGGGAGCGGCGGACGGGUGAGUAACGCGUGGGAAUAUGCCCUUCUCUACGGAAUAGCCUCGGGAAACUGAGAGUAAUACCGUAUACGCCCUUAGGGGGAAAGAUUUAUCGGGGAAGGAUUAGCCCGCGUUGGAUUAGGUAGUUGGUGGGGUAAUGGCCUACCAAGCCGACGAUCCAUAGCUGGUUUGAGAGGAUGAUCAGCCACACUGGGACUGAGACACGGCCCAGACUCCUACGGGAGGCAGCAGUGGGGAAUCUUAGACAAUGGGGGCAACCCUGAUCUAGCCAUGCCGCGUGGGUGAUGAAGGCCUUAGGGUUGUAAAGCUCUUUCAGCUGGGAAGAUAAUGACGGUACCAGCAGAAGAAGCCCCGGCUAACUCCGUGCCAGCAGCCGCCGUAA
rnacentral:rRNA from 1 species